rnacentral:sRNA from 1 species
CCAUCGCCAUCUCCAUCCACCAUACCUCUCCACGUCCCCGAUCUCUUUCUUGUGUAUAUUUAUCGUUUUACCACCUUGUGAUGGGUUUAUGACUAUUUACGACAUCAGUGAUAGCUGUAUUUGUGGUUAACUUUGGUCCAUACGGGCCAUUCCCAAGGAUCCCCAGCCACCUUAUCUGCCAACCAAACUUCCUCGGUUCGGGGUUUUGUAGCCCUAACUAAGAUCGAUCCUGCGCUAAAUGCUUCCCUGGUAAACAACAAACAACAACAACAACCACCUGCUGGAGGACAUAUAUAACCAUAUCUACCAUAUCUUCUGGAUCUACGAUACUCCAAAUAUCACUUGAACUUACUCAAUCCCUACUGACAUGAUACUCACCACUCUUUCAUAAUGCUGCGCAGCCUGCUCGGAAGGGCUACCGAUCCUCCGGUCUCCUCUACCAGCUCCUCCAAGUCCCGCCGCCGUCAGAGAGACUCUGAUGACGUUUCCACCAUUUCUUCGUCUUCUCCCCGCCGUCGCAGAGGUGACCACGACCACACCUCUUCUUCUUCAAGCUCCCGGCGCAAGUCGUCUUCCACUACUACUCCUCACACUUCCCGAGGUGACGAUCGAGGAAUUGGUCGAGUAAACGUAGAUGACCAUCACGCCCCUGCUUCAUCCGCCCAUUCCUCUGGCAGACAUGGUCGCGAUAGCACCGCUAGAUCAACGGCGUCUAGCUAUGCAACAGCUGAUCCAACGGGGAGAACCCCGGAGGACUAUGAUGGCUCUGUGCUGAGGCCAAAACAUGGGCGCAACGAUGAUGGGCGCUUCGAUGCACCCAAUACUCGUCGCGAGCGAUCCAGGAGCGCUGAUCGAGCUGAUCGAAGGUAUAGGGGAGAGAGGGAACGUGAAAGGGAUAUCAAACCACAUUCGCACCGGCGAGCUAGGUCUGAAGUAAUUGUUAACAACCCAAAUGACUACUCCCGUAGUCGAGAUGGCACUAUGUCGUCACCUGGAGAUCAAGGGUUUGUGACGGAAAUCUCUCAGCCUGGGUUUAUGCAAUUUCCUAUGCAACAUGACAAUACCUUUCCUGGUGCAGCGCCUGGAACCGGACCGUUAGAUACCCAUCAAAUGUCUUUUUCGCACGCUUCUCCUUACCCACCUCAACAGUUCCCGGUCGGCCCGUCACCAGCGGAUCCAACGGUUCCAAUUCCGGCUCCAGAUCUAGGUGAGGCAGCGGAGUAUUAUGGGGACCAAGGGGAGUCAGUAGCGACCCAGCCUGGCGUGAGACCCAAUCCGCCAUCCCUCAUUGUUGGAGCUGAACCACAUUUGAUGGCUGCGUCAGCAACGCCAAAUCCCCCCGCUGAACCAUCGUCUAUGGGACAAGUGGGUCAUGCGGCCGACUUCUACGGCGAUUCUUCACCAGAAGUUACUAAUCAACAGCAGCAACAUACCGAUGGCCCCGGCUUACCUGCCGAUCUUCUGCCGGACAAACCCCCUAAACCAUCCAAACCAUUCAAACCGGGAGGGCCAGGAAAACCGUCAGUCGCUGUUGCGGGAGUAGCAGGGGCAGCUGCAACUUACGGAAUCAGUUCAUUGAUGGGAAGUUCCAAUGAACACCACUCUACUUCCUCACCAUUUUCUCCUCACCACGAAUCAACACUGCAUCCCGCCCAGCAGCCAGACAAUCCUCUGUUCAAUGGUGGACGCCCACCAAAACCAAACAAGCACCAUUCCAUGCCUAUUGUAGGUGCCGCCGCACUGGGCGCUGCCGCAGGAUAUGCCGCAGCGACAAGCCAAACGACUGUCUCCCCGCAGGGACCCAGCAUGUACUCUGGUAUCGUACACCAGCAACCCUUCCAAACGGCCCAGCCAUAUCAACCAGGUUCCUUAGCCUACCACCAACGCCAGCAUGGUCCAUUUAGAAAGUUUGUAAAUUUCUGGAAAGACUCAGAGGCUGUCGCCCAGUAUGAGGAAUACUCCGAAUACACCGGUAUUUGCAAAUAUUGCUUCGAACCGGGAACUACUUCAAGGGAUGCGCCGCGUAAACACCGCCCUGCCAGACGUAGGUAUUCUGACGAGUACCGUGGUAGACAAACUAGAGUGGAAAAGUUGAGCAGAUAUCCCUCAUCAUCUGGUGAUGAGAGCCGUCGUACAAAGUCUAACAAGAAAUCUUGGCUUGCAGCCGGCCUUGCUGGUUAUAUUACUAAGUCACUUCUUUCUGACGGAAGCAAAAAAGAGUUUGAUGAUCUAAAUAGUAUUCGUUCUGGGCGACCUGAUAGUUUCACGACAAGUACUAGCGCUUCAUCUCUAGGGAAGAAGAAUCGUACGUCUGAGCCACCUGCAAAUUACUCUAUUCGCAGUCGCUCUCCGAUGGGACUUGACACGCGACACCGAAAGGAUGAUGCAAGCUGGCAUAGUGGUUCAUAUGAAACAUCCCGCCACGGGAACGGUCGACCAAAAUCGCGAUCACGAUCGCGUUCCCGACCUACGUCUCGUGAGAAGAUACAUUCCGAUUUGAGAACAGCAGCCACUGCUGCCGGUGCUGCAUCCGUCAUAUCAUCUGUAUCACAUAUAAGCCGCAGCAGAUCCUCUAAGAAAUCCCGCAGCAGUCGAUAUUCUUCAUCGAGCAGAUCCACAAUUGAUAUUUCUCGCAACCAUAGUAAACCCGGUUUGGCUGGACUCACAUCUUUCUUCAGUGCACCAUCAGAAAAAAAACCAAAGUUGUAUGCGAAGGUGGAUGGUAAGAAGGUGAAAAGAAAAAAGAAGGCAAAAGGAUUUUUUAGCUUCUCUUUCUCUUCCUCUGAAGGAUCAUCCGCGUCUUCGUUUUCGUCCUCAUCCGAUGAUGCUGAUCUGGCCUUCGGGACGGGAUAUAUCAAAUCACCACGAUCUGCAAAAAGUAAAUCCCAAUCAAAAAAUCGUACGGAUGACCACGAUGUUGAUGCGGCACUCCUUGGACUAGGAGCGACAGCCGUGGGCCUUGCAGCAACGGCUUCGCAUAUUAAGGGGAGACGCAGACGCGACCGCCAUUCUUCUACCAGCAGCUCCCAAUCGCCGCAUGCGAUCUAUGGGCGUGAUCCUAAGCCUAUCGGCAUUUCUAAGCGGACUGAUGAUGAUGGCUGGGAAUCCGUAUCCGAUGAAUCUUCCCCGUCUAGUGUGGAUUCUGCGUUGGCCUAUGGUGGACGUGCGGCGCCAUCUCUCUCGUCCGACUCGGGUACCUCUAAAUGGGGUUGGAGGUGGGGCGGCAAGAAAAAGAGUUCAAAAUCUACAAAGUAUUCUGACCAGCCUCCGGAUUUGGGGCGGUACCCUCAACAGUCCACGGCUGGGUAUCCACCACAUCAGACCCCUAGCAGCGUGGGCAGCCUGGCAUCAAUGCAAAAUGUUUUCCCAACACCCACGCAAAACCCAUCGUUAUAUGACGUGGAAAACCAAAACUAUUCUUCUCCACCAAACAUUCAAUCACAAGCACCCCCGUUAAUGGCCCGGGCACCUGGCCCCGCUCACAUCCAACAUCCUCAACCAAUUGUCCCCCUAUCCCAAGCACUUUACACAUCGCAGGCUGAACUAGCUCAAUCCUACAAUGUUCCAAGCGGAGGUCAACCUGGCUUCCCCGGAUCUUUUGAUGAAUACGACGAUCGUCACGUACCUGUCCCUGAGUCGAAAAUCAGAUACGGAAUUGCUCCAUUAAUGGAGAAAUCAUCAAGGGACGCUGACUACUACGUUGACAAUGGUAACAACCAUUCCCCGCCACGCAGUGGAGGACGGCCUCUUAGUUCCCGCAGAAGAGACUCUUCGCCUACAAUUUCGCACGCGCGCGAUGGAAGCCCUAGGCCAAAACAACCUAGGCGUAGUACUAUGUCUCAAGUUCAAUUUGAUCUUACAAAGGAGCAGGAGGAUAAAGAGCGCCAGCAGUUGCGGUAUGAGGAGGAAAAGGAAGCUAGACGGCGUGCAAUGGAAUUACAUGUGCUGGCGGAGAAAGAAAGGAUGGAUAGGGAGGACGACGAUCGUAGUGUGGAAUGGGAACAGAGCCGUGAGCGUGAGCGCCAGCGUGAGAAUGUGGAUAGGAAAUCUCGUGAAUCGACUUCAAGCGGUAGACGUAGCGAUGUGACUGAAGCGUCUAGUUCAUCCUGGGUUUCCCCUGUUGCGGCUGUGGCUGGUACUGCGGCUAUCACGUCCUUGGUAAGUGAAUUGGAUGAGAGGAAGCGGCAUCAAGAACGGCGGGAAAAGAGGAGGAAGGAGAGGCGCGGGUACGCCAAUGAGAGAGAGCAGGAGAUUGAGGAAGAUAAGGAAGGGGACUGGUUUGAGCCUGUUGCCGGGCCCAUUGAAGAGGGCAAGGAUAAGAUGGAUACCAUUGUCAGCACCGAGCCUGAUUUUGAUAUCAAAGACAUCCCAACAACGAAGAUUCGCCUUGCGAAAAGAGCGGCUGAUCGCGUUAGGUCAUCGCCUGUUUAUGACAAUUAUGCAGAAUACUUCGUCCCACCAGACGUACGGUCUAGCGGUGAUGAGCAUUCUGCCCAUUCCACUUCGGACGUAGAGUCUUCGUGCCCACCUAGUCCUAAUGUCAUUCUCAUCGAACCGCGGAGUGUCCGACUCGAGAGGGAAAUGGCGGCUAUGUUGGCGGAACAGGGGGUGCCUGAAAUUAAUCUUCCCUGGCCUGUUCCUCGCCUUAAUUUAAUAACGCCUACGCCGCCACCGAGUAUUGCACCAUCUGUCGUUGACCAGAAGGGCGGAUGGCCGCCACCCAUACCACCUAAGGAGCUUUCGGAUUCGCAACGCGACAUUUCCCCAUCUCGAAUUAGCGAUCCUGUUAUCGAUAUGGAUGACAAGUGUGUGCGUGAGAUUGACGCUGCGGAUAUCAUCUCUGAACAUGUUAAAGCUGCGGACACGCUGCACGAUCCUGAGUUAACAACAUCAGCCUUGUCACAACCAGAACCACAUGAAGAAAGGGACGAUAGUGCAACCAAACCGCUCGAAGAACUGAAUGAACAACCGCCCAAUGUUGUGACUGAAGUUGAAGAUGACUCCGUCGAUGAGGAAAUGCCGCGACACGAGCAUAUCCCCGGUGGCUUUGGAAACGAUUUCGAAUUCGCUGCAACGCUCGCUGCUGGAGCGACGCUGGCAGGCUUCAGUUCCGCUGUUGUCACGGAGGAUCCCACGUACCACCAACGCGACUCGCCACCUGGCUCAGAGGAGGAGGGCUAUUUUGCUUCCCCGAUUGCAGGGGCGAUUCUAGAACGACGGGGUAGCCCUCCUGAUGGUGGGAAGUAUUCUACUACGACCUUCGGAUAUGUUGAGGGUGGGGAGGUGGGGCAUUCUGACGAUGAUGGCUUGAAAACCGAGGGAGGCGCUGGGGCGGUUGCUGCUGAUGAGCUCCCCGAGGAUGCUGGCGGUGAUAGAGGAGAGAUUCUGGAACGCAGUGGGAAGUUAAUAGACGCUGGUUUCAUGACGACUACUGCUGAGGUAGCCGAGAGGAGUGAUGAGAAGCCGGCAAAACUCUCGAAGAAAGAGAAGCAGAAGAAUGAUAAGGCAGCUCAGCGGGAAUCUCAGGGCCAUGAUGGAUCCUCUAAAUCUGCGGAGAAGCCCGCAUUUGAAUCAGCUGCCCUGCUUGAUCCACUCGCAGAGGAGCGGAAGGAGUUUGAGAUUUUAGAAGCAGAAGCGGGAGGGUCUGUACACACCACCCCAACGACUGACAAACCUUCCAGACAUUAUGAUACAGUGGAUGAUAACGAAUUCUAUGAUGCCGAGGACGGAUCGCCGCGCCAUUUAGAUGAAGUCAAUGGUAAAGAGGAGGAUCGUGAGACUGUUUUUGCUAAUGUCGAUGAUCGUGAUGAUGAUAGGAGAUCUGUAAACCAAGAUGACCCUGUCGCUGACCCCAACAAAUCCAUUUCUGCAACUGAUCCUGUUUCGUACAGUGUGCAGCAGGACGUGGAACGGGGCGAAUCCGAAGGGACGGAAAAGCCAUCUAGAACCGACCAGGAUGAAUCCACUGCAGAGGGUCAAGACCGACGUUCCAUGCCAGGGAACUUUUCUGAAGAACCCAAACAGUCGAAGAAAGCGAAGAAAAAGGCGAAGAAAGCUGCCAAGGAUGCUGCCUUGAACAAUGAUAACUUUGAACGUGGACCUGAUCCGGAGAUGGAACCCGAAGCGCAAGUUGAAGCGGAUAAGGCACCUGUUCAUUCCGUAGAACCUGAUCUUGAAAUGGAGUUUGACAUUGUCAAUGCCAGCAAAAAGAAAUCGAAGCGGAAAUCUAAGGGGAACGAUAGACAAGUCAAUCCCAAGGACAAGGAGGCACUUGCUGGCUCCAUCAACGGUUCCAAUGAAGACCCUGUCCGUGCCGUUGAAGGAAAUGGAGAACAUGACGAUGGGACCGAAUCAAUGACUGCCUGGAGCCGGACGGAAGGAGGGGAUGAUGCAGAGUCUCUGAAGUCUUCCAAAUCCAAGUCAUCAUCCAGGACAAAAUCAAAGCGUCGGUCGAAGCGCGAUAGUGAUACAUUUCAGAAGGAUCCUUCCACGUCCGCUUCUGCUGUGUCCGCGCCUGCUAAAAUGGCAGAUAAUGACAAGACUGAGCGACGUAAGAGCAAGGAUGGUAGCAAACGGAGCAGCAGCCACGGUGGUGGUGGUGGUGGUGGUGGUGGUGGUGGUGGUGGUGGAGGUUUCUUUGGGCUUUUCGGCGCUUCCAAAUCUCGCGACUCUUUGGCUGACGAUGCCCGUGCACCAGCGAAGGAUAUUCAGUCUGAGGCUGGUGUCAAUGAUUUGGACAAUGUAAGCGCUUCGUCGGGGAAGAGGCGGAGGAAGAAGAGAUCUUCCAAAGGUGGGAAUGAUGGCGUUGAGUUUGGCGGUGAUGAUGGUUUAAGUGGUAGUGAGGGUAGUGAUGGAGAAUGGGCGAAGAAAGAGAGUGAGGAACCAGAUCACGCCACUAAAGAGAUGGAUGCAAUGGAGGAAGCUGAAUCUCCGCAUCGUCGGAGGCGGAAAGAUCGAAAACACCGAUAUGAGGAUAUUGUUGAAUCCGCGAGGAGUGUAGAUGGGAAGAGCAAUGACGCGCGCUUCAUAACGUCUAACGGGCAUGAUGAUCGUGACGCCAGUGAGGAAAGUAAGGAUUACACAGAAAGCCAAUCUUUUUUAGGCGCGCACCCCGAAAUGCCAUUGACGCGUGAUGGUGCUUCGGGGUUGCUUGGUUCUCUCCUUCAACCACAAGAGGCGGCCAGGGGCACUGCUCCUGCGACUCUCAUGCAGACCCGGAUGCGGAGCAGAUCGGCGUCUCCCAUGACUGGAAAGAGGCUUUUCGAUCUGAUACCAGCUCAAUCGCAAAGUCGGCCUGGGUCACCCACAACGGCUACUCGGAGUGAAGAAGCGCUAAGGCUACAUGUAGAUCCAAGCUCGACUUCCCACAUUAUGUCUUCACCGACUGCGGUGCCUAUACAUUUCCGACGACCGAAACCGUCUCCAGGUGCUCGAAAAACGUCGUCUGUUUCUAGUCCAGGAACGCCAGAGGACACUGUGGGAUCUCCCACAUCGAAGCUUGGAAGUGGCAGUAAACGACCCAGGUCAACGGAAUUUAAGACCUCAAGGGAGUUCAGACCAUUGUGGUUAGUGGAGCGUCACUCACCAGCGAAACUGGAAAAACAGCCGGAAGAGCCAUAUCCAUCACUUCCCUCUAGUAAAACAGCAUCGCGGACUUCCUCUGUCGAGGAUUUGACCAGCUAUGACCUUACGGAGGGUUUCACUGGAGAGGUUUCUCAAGCUUAUCAGGUUCAUCCUCAACAGCAGUUCGCCCAGCCACCAAAGCGAACAAGAGGUCUUUCCUUACAACUUGACACCAACGACACUUCCCUCUCUGAUCCUGAUUUCUUAGGGUCGCAGCAGGCAACCCCCACGGCGGAAAGUUUCCAAGAAGCAGCCCAAACGGCGAAGAAGAAGAAGAAACCGAAGCCGGAGUUCCAUUCCCCUUCUGAUUUGCUUUUUGAUCCCUCUUCUCGCCAAAUUAAAUUGCCGGAAUCUGCGGCGCUGGACUCUCUACAAUCAUCGGAAGGUUUUGUGAGAGACGAAAGGACCCUGGUACCUACGGAGUCUGAUGUGGAUUUGGAGUUACCGCCUCUGCCGCGCUCGUUGACCGCUUCGCCUGAUCUGAGAGAGUCACUACCCCCGCUACCCGAGAGCCGUCCUUCCACAGCUGACUCUGAAAUUGAGCCUCAGUUUUUCACACCGACCGCAGAGCUAGAUGCGUUGCCUCCAUUACCGGGCAGUCGUCCGUCGACAUCUCAUACUACUGCUGCUGAAGCUCAAUUGAUGGGUCAUUAUAUCACUGGAGCAGGUGCGAGUUUUGCGGCUGGUGUGGCUGCACAGCUCGCAAAAUUAGAACUAAAACCUGAAACUGCGUUCUUAGAUGCUUCCAAUGUUGGUCAAGAGAUUACGCCUAGCACCGAAACAGUCACAGACACUGAACCCGCAAGGGAGACCGUGUCAAUUGUUGAAGCCACUCCAAAAUUACUUGAAGAACCAGCUCUGGAACCGACGGUGGAGACAAAACGAACUCCACGGUCACAGGAAGAAAUGCAGCCAGCACUACCCGUUGUUGAUUCAGCUUCGUCAGCUCUAGAUGAGGUACCAACCAAGCCAAUUCCCCACCUUUCAGAGCCUAGUCCAUCGAUCGAACACACUCCACCGGAACUCCUGAAGGUUGAAAUGGAUGAUUUCCAGCCAGCUUCAAAGAAAUCGAAGAAGGCCAAGAAAAACAAAAAGAAGGGCAAGAACGCAACUGCCCCCGACGGCCCGCCCCCCCCCUCUAGCAGCGAGCAUGAUUCUGUUUCCCAAACAAUCAGAAAUGACAGUGCCGAUGUUCCAUUGGCUCCGCCAAGCGAAAUGUCGGAGGAUAAGCAAGAAAUGGCGUCCGUUGAACUGCCAACGCCAGAGUCUCAUUUUCUAGAAUCAAUAGAGCCAAAGUCGCAAAUGACUAGAGAACUUCCCAUUCAGGAAGAAUUUUUAUCUCAUCAUUUCCUGGCGGCUGCGGACACCAAGGUGGAAUUAGCUACGCCGACUAAGAAAAACAAGAAGGGCAAGGGUAAACAAAAGCAGAAGGCCGGAAAAAUUUCUCACCAGGAGUAUGUCCCACCAGUCGAGGAUGAGCCCGCCAUCGAACCUCAAACUCCAAGCCAAGGAAAAGAGCCAGAGGUUUUCGCAUCUCCUUCGGAGCAAGUAGUCGGUGAUAUUACUGAACCAACCAAGGAAAUGAGCCUUGUUGACAUCCCUCUACCUGAAGACGAUAAUUCCAAACUUUGGGAGCCUACCACUGUUGAGGGUGUUCUUGAUCUCGGUUUAGCCGGCGAAACAGAAAAUUUAGAGCCGGUUAUCAAUCUGCCGAAUAUAAAUGCUGACGGGCAAAUUCCGCAGAAGAUCGAUGAAUUCGAUCCUGCAAUGAUAGCGCUACCGGAUGUCGAGGAUGCAGAGCUUGAGGAGCCCAUUCAUGAAUAUUCCCCUGAUUCGAGAACUCUUUGUCCUGAGCAAGCUAAUAAUUUUUCCCACAAAACUGUUGACGAGUACGUUCUACAAUCGUCCAUGGAGCUUGACCCUACGAGUAUAGCGUUACCGGAUGUCGAGGAUGCAGACCUUGAGGAACCGAUCGCAGAGGGAUAUGUCCCUGAUUCGAGCUUUCCUUGUCAAGCGGAGACAACGAGCAAUUUCACCCCUGUUCUAGAUACGGAGAUGCAAGAAUCCUGCCUACAAUCAGCCGGAGAAAUUGAGCGUGGAAUUAUACCUCCACUAGAGAAUAAGGUCGGGGAUACGAAACUUCCGAAGGAAGAGUUGGUGGAGCCUGCUGAUCAACGAUUUGCUCCUUCAGCCGAUAAGCGGCCUUCUACACAUGUGGUCUUUGAUGUCGGGGGAGAUAGUUCACCAGUAUCUCAAAAAUUGACGACUGUCUUGCCUGAGUUACUACCAGCGGAACAUGUACCUCCUCCUGAACUCCCUGUUGAAAACACCGAGGAAUACGCAUCACAUAAGAAGGGGGAGAGAGGAAGCAAGGGUCGGAAGUCGAUUACAAAAGAUGAGCCAGCCGAAACCAAGACAAGUAAUGUUCGCCAGAGCCUCGAAUUAGUCGCGUGCAAAGAAUCUCCUUCUGAAUCUCAAGCUUCGGCCCCCGAUCCUUUGGUUCAAGAUAAAUAUGAGCACCGAUCUGAAGAGCAGGUGCAAGACGACGUUAACACAACGCUGUUGGACAAGGAAGCCAAGGAAUCUGCAUGUGACACUCUGGCCAAUGAGGGUUCACCACAUCUGAUAGGUGGAGUCGAUGCACAAAUCGACACGUCUAUAAAGGUCUCGAAAAAACAAAAAAGAAAGGAUAAGAAGAAGCAGAAAGCUUCCCUGGAAACUGAGGAGCAGCCACUACAAUCAGGGUCUUUAAUAGACACGGUUGGCGAGGGAAGCACUGAGGCUCAACCCGACCCUGAGCAAUUGACUAUGGAACCAGACGAUAUGCAGCACAUCACACCAUCAAGGUUAUCCGAUGACUCUAGCAAGGACAAACAACUGAUAGAGGAAGAUCAACAGCGAGAAGACUUGGAAAAACAAGGCCAAGGCGAUUCAGCAUUGUCAUUGGUUGAGGCGGAGCCAACAACUCACGAUCCUCCAUUGGUAAUUAGUGAAGACCAUGCCAUGGAUAAGGAAAUUUCGGACGACAUCUCUAGACCUCCCACAUCUAAUGACAAGAUUCCUUCGGAUGAACUUAGGAACAAGGAACCGCAUCAAAAUGAUAAGCCUGCGCCUGAUGUUCAGAAGUCUAAGAAGGCGAAGAAGGGCAAAAAGAAGCGGCAAUCGGUCACUUGGGAGGACGACGUUUUCCGUGCCGAAGGUCCCCAGACGGCACCUGAUUCUUCCACAAUGAAGGACGAUGAACUCCGCGCUGAAAUGGAGACACCCACAUUUACCCCAGCUGACAAUUUGGAUACUGAGGCACCGAAUACUUCUAAAAAUAAACGGAAAGCAAAAAAAGACAAGAUAAAGCGGAAAUCUUCAGAUUUGACAACAUCACAGCCUUUAAGCCCGUCCGAUGAGCAACCCCGUUUGCUAGUUGAGUCUAUUGCUGCAAACUCUGGGGAGCAAUCAGAGCUUUCCACGAAGUUGGAUCCCGAUACAUCCACAGGAUCACCUUCACUUGCUCCUGCUAACAAAGUAGACGAAUCACUUAUGGUAGAGUCUCCUCAAGGCCAGCCUCUCACUUUCGAGAAGGAUUUGGAAACAUUUUCCAUCCCUGGGUCAUGGGAAGACGAUGCAAAUAAAGUUAUCGAGGCUCCGCAUAAAGACAAUGAAAUAGCUCCUCACGAAGCACCACCUCCCAACGAUGACGGUAAUGAAUCUCAGAUUUCCAAAAAUAAGAAGAAGAAUCAAAAGAAGAAGAAAAGGUCAAGACAUUCUGAUUGGACUGAUGAAAAUACGUCUCCGCAGAUAGAAAAGAAAGAGAAUUCUGAAGCGACACUACCCGAGUCAUUGCUAGCAACAUGCCAGCCGCCGACCAUCCCAACUGAGCCACAUGAAAAAUCUGUGAUACGGGCCCUGGGUCCUCUCCACAAUUUAGUAGAGUCCCCUGUCGAACCUGAACCACUUAACACCCAGGAUCCUUUCAAGCCUUCCCAACAGGAACAGUUUUCUUGUCCCAGUGAAGCACCUGCGACUCCUGAUAGUCCCGAAGCAAUUGCGCAGGAGCCCCUACUGCAAGCUGCGGAAAUCUAUAUGCCUACGGAGCCGUCUAGACAUUUCGACACCGAUACUGAUGCCGAGAAAUUGUCGUGCAGGGUGGAAGCAUCCCAGGCUGAUACCUCUCUGCCUUAUGUGGAUAAUCUUGGCCCUGCCUCAAUUGCCGAAGAAAUCCAGAGGCCACCAACCAAUACUCUUCAACUGACGGCCACAGAAAUUGUCUAUGCCAGUAAAAGAGACGCUGGAACAGCUGAAGCAGCAAAAGAAGCUGAAGAGACACUUCCUUCUGAAGCAGUUGUCUCUGAGACAGUGACAAAAACGGAAGGACAAAUUCCCCCACCCCCAGCAGAAGCUGUAUCGCCUCCAUACUUGGGUCCGGAUCUGUUAAUUGCUUCUAAUGAGCCAGGUGAUCAAAUAAGUAACCUUGCAGAUACAGCCAUGGAUUCCGUUUUUGAACAAGAGCAGAUUUCGACUUCGUCGAAAGACAAAACCGGCGACACCAAACCAGAAUUCAGGGAGUCAACUGGAGCUGAAGAUAGGAAGGACGGCCAGGAAGAACCAUUGUUAAAAGUUGAAGAAUCACCCCAAUCUGUCGAGAUAGAGGGCCGGGAUGUCAUAGAUGUACACUCUGUGAAUGUCCUUGUUUCUGGUGAAAUUCCUCCAAGCCUGUCGGAACUUGUUGACUGCGACGUGGAUGUUGAGCAAUCAGCACAACCUGAACCUGAACCUGAACCUGAACCUGAAUUUCAACCCAACUUUCAAUCCGAACCCAGCAGCUGGAAUGUCAGGUCAACCAAAAAGGGGAAGCAAAAGAAGAACAAGAAACAAAGAGAACCUCGAGAGGAGAAGGCUCCCAUCCCAGAUGAAGAGAGUACUCUAUCAACUCCAGUGGGGUCCAUCUUGGAGCCGACCCGGGAGCCGAUGCCCAAAAUUGUCGACGAAAUGACUGCUAAUCGGGACUUCCCUAUCACGAAAAAAGGCAAGAAGAAAAAUAAAAAGUCUCGCGGUCUUGAAGAAAGUAUUCCCCGUACUAGCUAUCCAGAGCCAGUUGCAACUGAAAACGUUCUUGGAAGUUCGACGAUCAUUGAAUCCCUAGAUGAAAAGGAGGAAAGCCAGUGCUCUUUGGGUGUCACAUCCACUGAGACGGAAAAAAAGAAAACUAAGUUUAAAGCUCCAAGUAUCGAUGAAGGGACUGGCAAUCUUCAUGAGUGCCAUCCGAGUGGCUUAGCACCCACCACGGAUGAUGCGAAUAUCUCUGAAACAAAGGAAAAGGAACUAGAGCAACCGCAGGCGGAUAGUUGGCAUACCUGGGAUAUUGAACGAACCCAAAAAGUUAAAAAUAAGAAUAAGGAUCUCACUUUUGAGGAAGGUACUGCCAAUCCUGUUGAGCCGUAUGUGGAUGAUUCGGCUGAAGUUGUGGAUGAAUUGAACACCCCCAAAUUACAGAAAAUGAAAGUCGAGACGCAGGGGGAUGGGAACUGGAAUCGUCGGGAAGUCGCUAGUACUAAGAGAGACAAAAAGAAGAAUAAAAAGACCCAGGUUGUCCAAAACGACCCUCCCGGUGGGCCAGCACCACUAUCUGUUGGAGAGCCUCCUGCUCACAUCGACCCCGAGCCUCAGACCGAGCAUGAUAAAAAGGACUUGGGUGCCGCAUCACCAAAAAAAGGCAAGAAGAACAAAAAGGGUCGAGAUGUUCAACAAAAGGCUCAUUUAACUUUUGAACCCGAAUCGUGGGAACGUAUCGAACUUGGAAUGUCUGAAGAACCUAAUCGCAGCCCAUUGGAGAAGGGACAGAAGGUCAAAGAAAGAGGGAAGGAAGCUGCUGCUAGGCAUCUACACGACGUCGAAGAAGAGAAAGCUGCUAAAGCCGCCCAAACUCAAGAUAAGGCUUCUGCUACUAUCGAAGUAGACAGCACUUUAGGCGAAACCAAUCUUCCUGGAAUGGAAUCCCUGAUAGACGAUCAAGCAAAGGAGACUCCAAUAACGGAGGCGGAAGCACCUGACAAUAAUCGAAAGGCAAUUUCUGAGGCCGAUGAAACCGCCAAAUGUCCGAAGAUUGAACAAAGAGAUAUUUCUGACGAAACUAAACUAGACCAAAUCCCUGUUAAAGUUGCCGACCUUGUUGGUGAGAAGGAAAAAAAUGAUGUUUGGGAGGAACCAUCAAUGAAAAAGAAAUCUAGAAAGGAAAAGAAGAAUAAGAAGAGAACAAAAAGUGAAGUAAACGUUGGAUCAGCAACUGGAAAUGAAGUUGACAAUGGGGAGAAGGAAGGGCAGAAGCUCGUUGGUGAAGGAAAUGCGCCGCCGGAAAGGUCUCUGUUAAAGGAAAAGAGAAACAUAUGGCAGCAGCAAUUUGAUGAAAAGCCAACCAAACAUCCAGAACAAGCCUACAUGCAAGAGUCUUCUGCUCUUGACAUUCAUCCAGCCGAAGUCAUAAAAGAAUUCACGGGAGAAUCACAAGAGGAGACACCAGGGGAACCGUCGCAAGGGGAAAGAUCUAUUGUGGAGCCACAAAAUGAAGACGAUUACUGGCCACCAAUUGAUUGGGGUAGAGAUAAGGCUUGGAAAAUCGACGAACCUCAACCCGAGCCCAAACCAAGGGAACCUGACACUUCGUCCCUCGAUCUGCUUCUUUCGGGAGAUGAGCCGCAACCGCGCGAGGAGCCCUUUGAGCAACAACCAGUAGAUGCGCGGGUAGUGGUUGGCGAGAGCAUUGGCGAUUUUGAUGAAAAUGCGAGUCUUAUUUCUCAAGAAACACGCGAAAAAAGGAUUCCAGACGUGUCUUGGGCAUCAGCAAGUAGACCUCUGCCCAUGAACCCCGAACAAGUCGAGGUGCGCCGGCCCGGAAGCUCCCACAGCGAUGAACUCCCUCCUAUUUCAUUGGAUGUUGACGAACCUGGGAGCCUGCAAGGAGACAUUGACGUUACUGGAUUUCUUCAAAAACAAGACCACAUCGAACGGUUGACUGCUCUUUCCUCGGCCCCGCAAUCGUCAGACGCCGACCAUGAUUUGGAAGGAAAUCUCAAAAUAGAUUCGACCGGGGUCCUUGAUGGCACACACUCACCUGCUGAGCCUUCGGGGGCUACAGGAGCUGAUGACUUUCGGACUGCUAGCAGCAGGAGACAGAAUAAGGGAAAGAAAGGAAAAGCGAGAAGGAAAACUUCCCUCGGUAUACCAAAUGAAGCCGAUGAAAAUAUGCUUCAAGUUACAAAUGAAAAACCUGAAACACAGACUGAACUUGAAACAAGAAUGGAACGCUCCACCACAAUUACCAAAAAAUCCGAAGCGCUGGAGCCACCUGAAGGAUUCGUGGAUACUGGAAACGUAGACGACGAGUGUGAUUUUUGGGGUCUUGGCGAGAAGCACGAGAAGAAGGGCAAAGGCCGCGAGCAAGGACGGAAAGGCAUGCAAAGCGUCCCUCCAAAUGAACCAAAAGCUCCAUAUCCAACUCCAGUGGAAGCUCAAGAAAAGCCCACCAUCACAGGGUUUACUUCGCCAAGAAUGUUGGAGGAACCGGUUCAACCCCAACCCUCAGGAGUAGUGGCUAGUGUCUUCCCGUUUCUUGAACGGGUAUCUAGAAAACGGCCCUCACAAAAUGUGGGUUCCCAUGAAACCCCCGAACAAGAGACAAAGAAGAAUGCGCAAGGAACCUCGACUUCUUUUAUGGGGAAACAGUCGAUCUCGACAAAGGUACCUACUUUUCCACGAUUCGCCGAGCCAGUAGUUGAUGACGAAACCAUUCCCAAGUUUGAAGAUCCCAUAAAACGUCCACCAGGUCUCGAUCCAAUCCCGCAAGGCCCUGCAACUGAUGAGAAUAUCGAUCGUUCAAUCGAUGUGAGUGACAAGAAUUCCGAACCUGAAUUGCUAUCCAUCAAAGAUACUCGCAAACAGGAGCCUUCUUCUAUGGAUUUAACCUCAAAGAAUAAAUCACCCAUAUAUUCUCAUUCUCCUGCUUCGACGCAAGUUGACGUGGAGCAUUCUAGCCCGGUUUCCCGUGAAGCUCUCGGGGACAAACCUCAACAAUUCCCUGUGAUUCGCGACAUAUUUAGGAGUGAACUCAGCGGACAGUCAACUACGUUGUCAGAAAGCUACCUUCAGCGAGAGCAAAAGCAGGUUUUUGAUUCCCAAACCCAGUCGUCGGAACCCCCUCGCUCCAUAUUUGGAGGGCCCUACGGACUUGUAAAAGACCCGGAUAUUGUGAUCACACCUCCACGAACACCGCUCGCUACGAUAAAGGAGCAUGUUCUAACGGAGCCUCCACGAAACUCACGGAGCCGUGACAUUUCUGAUGUGGGUUCGCGUGGCCGAGUGAAAGCCGCACGACACUCAGCAAGCCCACAGUUGGUACUUGGACAGGAGCACAUUCUAUCACAGCCUAAAUCUCCGCAGGCUUCAAGGCUAUCUUAUCCGGGCAGCGAAGCCACGUUGGAUAUCCCUAAAAAGCGGCGUCCUGAGCAGUCACCCACCAGUGGAAAGGGACGAUCUGCCAGUAGUCCAUACGCAGAUGAGCUAAAAACCGCUGAAUUCCAGAAGGAAGCCACCUGGCCUGUCAAUGCGGGCAGUGCAGUACCUGCAAGUGGAUCUCCAGGACUACGUCGAAUCCACAGUCCUAGAAGUACAGAGCUUAGGGCGGCGAGCAAGGCCCAGGCGAGAGCACGUGAUCUGGAUCUCGACGUGGAGGGGAUUCCUUCGUCCAGCUCUUACGACCCGCUGACCGAUAAAGGGAAACGUGCGGUGCGCGGAAUGGAGGAUGUCUACGAAGGUUGGGGUGACGUACCAGGCUCCCCGCGGUCGCCAACCCGCCCAGCCAGCGUGCGAAGACGACGCAGCUUACAACACCUCCAAGACCUCGAAUCUCGUGUCGACCAGCUCGUAUCAGAGAAUCGCCUGCUUUCCACCGCCAAAUCAACCGCAGAGAAAUCCCUUGAAUCCUCAGCUAUUGCCCAACGACAGGCAGAGAAAGCGGUGCAGACACGUGACCAAGACAUCCGCAACAAGGACUUGGAGAUACAACAAUUGAAAAACUCGCUCGAAUGGUUCCGGAAAGAGGUUGUCCGCUUAACUGAAACUAACGAUGCCCUUGCGGCGACUAACACACAGCUGUCCACUUCUCACGAAGCUGAAGUCGGACAGCACGCGGAAUCCAAACAACUCUUGUUCGAAUCACAACAGGGCCUGAGGGAGCUUCAGGAUCGACACUCUCAACUGACCGCUGGGCUGGAGGGAAUUGUGCAAAACGAGAUAAAUAAUGUUCUGGCAUCAAAGGACGCGGAAAUCGAGCACUUACGUGGUGAACUAGCCGAUGCACAGGUCAAAAUCAAGGAACUUCAAAUACAGAUCAUGGAGACUAUGGCGGACGAUGUGCUUGUCUUCCGGGACGAAGAUUACUUCGAUGCGCAAUGCCAAAAACUCUGCCAGCACGUGCAGCAGUGGGUGUUGCGGUUCUCCAAAUUCUCGGACAUGCGACUAUGUCGCCUCACUAGCUCAAUCCGCGACGCGAAGGUCGCUUCUCGGUUCGAAAACGCGAUCCUCGACGGCUCAGACGUCGAUACUUACCUUUCCGAUCGUGUUCGACGGAGAGAUGUGUUCAUGUCAGUGGUGAUGACCAUGGUUUGGGAAUACAUCUUUACGCGGUAUCUCGCUGUCCAGCAGUGGAGGGCUACGACGCUAGCGCUACUUGCUCGACGAAGUGCGUUCCAUGAACAACGAGCCAGUGAUACCGAAGCUGUUGUCCAGGAAAUCUACCAUACCCUUUCCAAGCUACUCCCGCCUCCUCGUGAAUUGGAAAGUACAAUCGUAGAUUCUCUCCGCAAUGUCAUGCGAGCAGCAGUGGAACUUUCCAUCGAGAUGCGCACCCAACGGGCAGAGUACAUCAUGCUACCACCGUUGCAACCAGAAUACAAUCCCAAUGGCGAAUUAGCCCGCAAAGUCCACUUCAAAGCCGCGCUCAUGAAUGAACGGAGCGGCGAGACCACAUCGAACGAAGAGCUCGAAAAGCAAGAAGCAGUUGUGAGAAUUGUGCUGUUCCCCCUAGUAGUCAAGAAGUGCAGCGAUGAAGGUGAUGGUGAUGAGGAGAUUGUGGUGUGUCCGGCACAAGUGCUCGUAGCACGACCAGGGAAGGACAAGAAGGUCGUACGUGUGCUCAGUGGUGACCGGAUGUCCAUUGACCAGGGAAACCAGUCGAUGCAAAGCUUUCCGUCUAUCAACAUGGAUCCGGGCAACGUAAUCUGAGGCGUCACACUCGAUAUGGUGCCCGCUGUUCAUGCGAAUGUGGAAAUCGGGAGAUUGGCCUAGGGAUUUCGGCUUCGAAUUACAAUAUUUUUCAUUUCCCUCUUUUGCAUCUUUUUCUUUCCUCUUUUGAUAUUCCCCGAUGCCUGUCUGCAGACCGGCUAAUUUUUCAUCUCAUGUCUUUUUAUGUUUUUAUAUCUUGUCGAUGUUCCAUUUGUUUUCGGCAUUCCAUUCCGUUUGUUAUUUUCCCAUUUACUCUUAUGUUUAUUGAUUCCCCAGUUUGGCCUUCAUGCAUAGGAAGGGCAACGACGAUUUAUGACGAGAUAUGACGAUGCGCAGAGUAUUUUUUAGCAUAUAGUUCCAUGUAUGUAUAGUUUAGAGACGGUGUUACAAAAUGAUCAGAUAAUGGUAAUUUCGUUGGUAUG